UACGGGGGGGAGCAAGCGUUGUUCGGAUUUACUGGGCGUAAAGGGCGCGUAGGCGGCCACCGCAAGUCAAUUGUGAAAUCUCCGGGGCUUAACUCGGAAAGGUCAACUGAUACUGCGGGGCUAGAGUGCGGAAGGGGGCAACUGGAAUUCUCGGUGUAGCGGUGAAAUGCGUAGAUAUCGAGAGGAACACCUGCGGCGAAGGCGGGUUGCUGGGCUGAUACUGACGCUGAGGCGCGAAAGCCAGGGGAGCGAACGGG
rnacentral:rRNA from 1 species